rnacentral:rRNA from 1 species
UGGGGAAUUUUGGACAAUGGGCGAAAGCCUGAUCCAGCAAUGCCGCGUGUGUGAAGAAGGCCUUCGGGUUGUAAAGCACUUUUGUCCGGAAAGAAAUCCUUGGCUCUAAUACAGUCGGGGGAUGACGGUACCGGAAGAAUAAGCACCGGCUAACUACGUGCCAGCAGCCGCGGUAAUACGUAGGGUGCAAGCGUUAAUCGGAAUUACUGGGCGUAAAGCGUGCGCAGGCGGUUUGCUAAGACCGAUGUGAAAUCCCCGGGCUCAACCUGGGAACUGCAUUGGUGACUGGCAGGGCUAGAGUAUGGCAGAGGGGGGUAGAAUUCCACGUNUAGCAGUGAAAUGCGUAGAGAUGUGGAGGAAUACCGAUGGCGAAGGCAGCCCCCUGGGCAAUACUGACGCUCAUGCACGAAAAGCGUGGGGGAGCAAACAGGAUUAGAUACCCUGGUAGUCCACGCCCUAAACGAUGUCAACUAGUUGUUGGGGAUUCAUUUCCUUAGUAACGUAGCUAACGCGUGAAGUUGACCGCCUGGGGAGUAC